UGGGGAAUAUUGGACAAUGGGGGGAACCCUGAUCCAGCCAUGCCGCGUGUGUGAAGAAGGCCUUAUGGUUGUAAAGCACUUUAAGCGAGGAGGAGGGUACUGGUAUUAAUACUACCAGGUACUGGACGUUACUCGCAGAAUAAGCACCGGCUAACUCUGUGCCAGCAGCCGCGGUAAUACAGAGGGUGCGAGCGUUAAUCGGAUUUACUGGGCGUAAAGCGUGCGUAGGCGGCUAAUUGAGUCGGAUGUGAAAUCCCCGAGCUUAACUUGGGAAUUGCAUUCGAUACUGGUUAGCUAGAGUGUGGGAGAGGAUGGUAGAAUUCCAGGUGUAGCGGUGAAAUGCGUAGAGAUCUGGAGGAAUACCGAUGGCGAAGGCAGCCAUCUGGCCUAACACUGACGCUGAGGUACGAAAGCAUGGGAGCAAACAGG
rnacentral:rRNA from 1 species